GAUGAAGAAUGCAGCGAAAUGCGAUACGUAAUGUGAAUUGCAGAAUUCAGUGAAUCAUCGAGUCUUUGAACGCACAUUGCGCCCCCUGGUAUUCCGGGGGGCAUGCCUGUCCGAGCGUCAUUGCUGCCCUCAAGCACGGCUUGUGUGUUGGGCCUCCGUCCUCCUCCCGGGGGACGGGCCCGAAAGGCAGCGGCGGCACCGCGUCCGGUCCUCGAGCGUAUGGGGCUUCGUCACCCGCUCUUGUAGGCCCGGCCGGCGCUUGCCGACACAUCAAUCUUUUUUCCAGGUUGAACUCGGAUCAGGUAGGGAUACCCGCUGAACUUAAGCAUAUCAAUAAGCGGAGGA
rnacentral:misc_RNA from 1 species